CACAAUGCUCCGAGUGGUUAAGGGGCGAGACUUGAAUAGAUUACCUAAUCCAAGCAAUCUCGUGCGGUUUCCGCGCAUGGGUUCGAUCCCCAUUUGUGUCG